ACAUUGGAUAGCCCAGUCAGUAGGAGAGCAUGAGACUCUUAAUCUCAGGAUUGUAGGUUCAAGACCCACGCAGGGCA